GGACUACCCGGGUUUCUAAUCCUGUUUGCUCCCCUAGCUUUCGCGUCUUAGCGUCAGUAAAGGCCCAGGUACCUGCCUUCGCCAUCGAUAUUCCUCCCGAUAUCUACGCAUUUCACCGCUACACCGGGAAUUCCAGUACCCCCUGCCUCACUCCAGACGCCCAGUAUCCGCUGACCCCUCCCAGUUGAGCCGGGAGAUUUCACAGUGGACUUAAGCACCCGCCUACACGCGCUUUACGCCUAGUGAUUCCGAGUAACGCUCGCCACCUACGUCUUACCGCGGCGGCUGGCAC
rnacentral:rRNA from 1 species